CAGCAGACACAUUCCAGCCAAUCAGCAGCAGACCCUCCCUCUCAGACCCUCCCACCUCCUGGACAGCAUCCAUUGUGAAGCUGCAUUCUUAGUGAGCUGUCCAGGAGGUGGGAGGGUCUGGGAGGGAGGGUCUGCUGCUGAUUGGCUGGAAUGUGUCUGAU